GACAGAGGUGCCAAGCGUUAGGCGGAAUCACUGGGCUUAAAGCGUGUGUAGGCGGAUCGUUAAGUGCCUUGUGAAAUCCCACGGCUUAACCGUGGAACUGCUCGGCAUACUGGCGGUCUUGAGCAACCUAGGGGCGAGCGGAACAAAUGGUGGAGCGGUGAAAUGCGUAGAUAUCAUUUGGAACGCCAAUGGUGAAAAACAGCUCGCUGGGGGUUUGCUGACGCUGAGACACGAAAGCCAGGGGAGCGAACGGG
rnacentral:rRNA from 1 species